GGGAGAGGUUACUGACUUUAACUCUGCUCGAGUGGUUCUUCCUCCUGCGGUUGCCGUGCCGUCUCGUACUCUCUCGUGCAGGCUAACGUUGGAAUCUUGGGAGGGGAGAUGGCGGUCGUGGCAUCGAGGUGUACGGGGCUGCUCCUCCCCGACCUCGGCGCGAGCCUCGCCGGCUUCCGCCGCCGCCGCUCGACGCCGGCUUCUUCUCUCAGCUUCCGCCCGCGGCGGGCCCGUCGACGGCUCGGGUCCCUCUCCUGCAUCGCGCCGCCCGAUUCGGCGGAGCCGCAGACGGAUGAGCCGGCCGCCAAAGAUGACUCGACUGAAGAUAAGGCUGAGGCAAGUAGUGCAUCCCAGGAUGCUGGAAAUCCAACUUUUCCCAAUAAAGAUCUCAGCAGAAGGAUAGCACUGGCCUCCACUAUUGGAGCUGUGGGCCUCUUUGCAUAUCAAAGACUCGACUUUGGAGGCGUUUCUCUCAAAGAUCUUGCAGCAAAUGCUACACCGUAUGAAGAGGCUCUCUCAAAUGGCAAGCCCACUGUAGUUGAAUUUUAUGCAGACUGGUGUGAAGUUUGUCGAGAAUUAGCACCAGAUGUCUACAAAGUUGAGCAACAGUACAAGGACCGUGUCAACUUUGUCAUGCUAAAUGUUGACAACACAAAGUGGGAACAAGAGCUUGACGAGUUUGGAGUAGAAGGCAUUCCUCAUUUUGCCUUUCUGGACAAGGAGGGAAAUGAGGAAGGCAAUGUUGUUGGGAGACUUCCAAAACAAUAUUUUCUUGAUAAUGUGGUUGCUCUUGCUUCCGGUGAGCCCACUGUACCUCAUGCACGGGUUGUUGGCCAAUUCUCGAGUGCAGAAUCCCGAAAAGUUCAUCAAGUUGCUGAUCCAAGAAGCCAUGGCUAACAAUAGCUUGUGGUGAUCAAUUUUAGUGGUAAUGCUAAGACCUAUUGACAAGAGGCGAUAUGGUCUGCAUGCUCAGUCCUGGAACCAAGCAUUAGCGCGUGGACAUUGGUACUGAGCUGUUCCAACUCCCUUAACGUAUAUGAUUUUGCUGGUAGAACCAGGCAUUCGGCUACAGCAUUGAUAUGUUGGUGAUAUUUGAAUCGGUGCAUGUCUGCAUACAUAUUUGCAUAAUGAAAAUGCAGACAUGUGUUGCAGCCGCAAGCAUGCCCAUGUUAGUAAACUGUUUACCAAUCACCACUAGUUUCUACUUAGAAUUGCAAUAGAAUGUUUAUAUACAGGAGCUUACUAAAAUUUGUGUGAUAUAUAUAUGCUUCUGCUACUCUUGGGGAAAGCUGCACAACCUGUGUUGAUCUAUCUUAGCAUACUCUCAACUGAAGUGAAAAAUUGCAGGCCAA